rnacentral:lncRNA from 1 species
GGGCCAGAGGGGGUCUCCUUAUAUAGUCCUCCCCUUCUAUGCGUUUUUGGGUCGAUAGGCAAGGUGGUACUAUGUUAUUCUGGAUCCAAUAGGUCGGUGGAACGUCGUGUGCGAAGAGAGUCCGGAACGGAGUCCAGAGGUGGGCGGGCGCCCAGGUCCUCAGGGCGGGCGCCCUGGGCCUGGCCCCUUUCGGGCUCCGCUUCCUUCCCGUGGCUUCUGGAGUCUUCUAGAUGGUAGAAAAUUGCGUGGUGGGUUGAUAUCUCUAUGUAAUCCCGACAUGUGGGCCUUUCUUCCUUAUUUCCUGAUAACCCCCUGCAGAAAUAGACAAACACCAAAACUCGUGGAAUUCUGUCAGAUAAAACCCUAAGUCUAGAUGUUGAUUUCAUUUGGAUCCUUUUCUUUGUUUAUUUGUUGAUUAAAUUUGAUACUUAAGGAAGCAGCAGGUGGCAGAGGUGUAUUUGAAAGUCAGCAGCAUUCUGACAGCGAUUAGAAUGUCCUCCGUCUGCUAGUCUUCUUGAUUCUUAAAUUCUGUGGAGCUCAAAUAGACAACAAAGCUUGUGGAACUGAUUAAGUGUUAGCAUAAAUAUCUAGCCUUUAUCAUGUUAAGACUCCUUAAUAAUUGUUACUCCCUGUUUUUAUAUUUUUGUUUUUAUAAAGCAGAAAAGAUAUUUAUUUUAUUUUUAUGCC